rnacentral:rRNA from 1 species
AUACGUAGGUGGCAAGCGUUGUCCGGAAUUAUUGGGCGUAAAGCGCGCGCAGGCGGUCCUUUAAGUCUGAUGUGAAAGCCCACGGCUCAACCGUGGAGGGUCAUUGGAAACUGGGGGACUUGAGUGCAGAAGAGGAAAGUGGAAUUCCAAGUGUAGCGGUGAAAUGCGUAGAGAUUUGGAGGAACACCAGUGGCGAAGGCGACUUUCUGGUCUGUAACUGACGCUGCGGCGCGAAAGCGUGGGGAGCAAACAGGAUUUGAUACCCUGGUAGUCCACGCUGUAAACGAUGAGUGCUAAGUGUUAGGGGGUUUCCGCCCCUUAGUGCUGCAGCUAACGCAUUAAGCACUCCGCCUGGGGAGUACGGUCGCAAGACUGAAACUCAAAUGAAUUGACGGGG